AUUGAACGCUGGCGGAAUGCUUUACACAUGCAAGUCGAACGGCAGCACGGGUGCUUGCACCUGGUGGCGAGUGGCGAACGGGUGAGUAACAUAUCGGAACGUAUCCAAUAAUGGGGGAUAACUAAUCGAAAGGUUGGCUAAUACCGCAUACGCCCUACGGGGGAAAGCUAGGGACCUUCGGGCCUGGCGUUAAUGGAGCGGCCGAUAUCUGAUUAGCUAGUUGGUGGGGUAAUGGCCUACCAAGGCGACGAUCAGUAGCUGGUCUGAGAGGACGACCAGCCACACUGGAACUGGGACACGGUCCAGACUCCUACGGGAGGCAGCAGUGGGGAAUGUUGGACAAUGGGCGCAAGCCUGAUCCAGCCAUUCCGCGUGAGUGAAGAAGGCCUUCGGGUUGUAAAGCUCUUUCGCAAGGGAAGAAAACUUAUCCUCUAACAUAGGAUGAGGUUGACGGUACCCUGAUAAGAAGCACCGGCUAACUACGUGCCAGCAGCCGCGGUAAAAC
rnacentral:rRNA from 1 species